UACGUAGGGCGCAAGCGUUGUCCGGAAUUAUUGGGCGUAAAGAGCUCGUAGGCGGCUUGUCGCGUCGUUCGUGAAAACCCGGGGCUCAACUCCGGGCUUGCGGGCGAUACGGGCAGGCUAGAGUUCGGUAGGGGAGACUGGAAUUCCUGGUGUAGCGGUGAAAUGCGCAGAUAUCAGGAGGAACACCGGUGGCGAAGGCGGGUCUCUGGGCCGAUACUGACGCUGAGGAGCGAAAGCGUGGGGAGCGAACAGG
rnacentral:rRNA from 1 species